rnacentral:rRNA from 1 species
UACGUAGGGGGCAAGCGUUGUCCGGAUUUAUUGGGCGUAAAGAGCGUGUAGGCGGUUUGGUAGGUCCGUUGUGAAAACUCGAGGCUCAACCUCGAGACGCCGGCGGAAACCAUCAGGCUAGAGUCCGGAAGAGGAGAGUGGAAUUCCUGGUGUAGCGGUGAAAUGCGCAGAUAUCAGGAGGAACACCGGUGGCGAAGGCGGGUCUCUGGGCAGUAACUGACGCUGAGGAGCGAAAGCGUGGGUAGCGAACAGG